UACGGAGGGUGCAAGCGUUAUCCGGAUUCACUGGGUUUAAAGGGUGCGUAGGUGGGCAGUUAAGUCAGUGGUGAAAUCUCCGGGCUCAACCCGGAAACUGCCAUUGAUACUAUCUGUCUUGAAUAUCGUGGAGGUAAGCGGAAUAUGUCAUGUAGCGGUGAAAUGCUUAGAUAUGACAUAGAACACCAAUUGCGAAGGCAGCUUACUACCCGAAUAUUGACACUGAGGCACGAAAGCUAGGGGAGCAAACGGG
rnacentral:rRNA from 1 species